rnacentral:tRNA from 1 species
CGGGGAGUAAGUCAAUGGUAGACGGUUGGUUUUGGGAACCAGCAGCCGGAGGUUCGAAUCCUCUCUCCCCGA